CUAGCUUGCUAGAUUGAUGGCGAGUGGCGAACGGGUGAGUAAUACAUCGGAACGUGCCCUGUAGUGGGGGAUAACUAGUCGAAAGAUUAGCUAAUACCGCAUACGACCUGAGGGUGAAAGUGGGGGACCGCAAGGCCUCAUGCUAUAGGAGCGGCCGAUGUCCGAUUAGCUAGUUGGUGAGGUAAAGGCUCACCAAGGCGACGAUCAGUAGCUGGUCUGAGAGGACGAUCAGCCACACUGGGACUGAGACACGGCCCAGACUCCUACGGGAGGCAGCAGUGGGGAAUUUUGGACAAUGGGCGAAAGCCUGAUCCAGCAAUGCCGCGUGUGUGAAGAAGGCCUUCGGGUUGUAAAGCACUUUUGUCCGGAAAGAAAUGGCUCUGGUUAAUACCUGGGGUCGAUGACGGUACCGGAAGAAUAAGGACCGGCUAACUACGUGCCAGCAGCCGCGGUAAUACGUAGGGUCCAAGCGUUAAUCGGAAUUACUGGGCGUAAAGCGUGCGCAGGCGGUUGUGCAAGACCGAUGCGGAAUCCCCGAGCUUAACUUGGGAAUUGCAUUGGUGACUGCACGGCUAGAGUGUGUCAGAGGGGGGUAGAAUUCCACGUGUAGCAGUGAAAUGCGUAGAGAUGUGGAGGAAUACCGAUGGCGAAGGCAGCCCCCUGGGAUAACACUGACGCUCAUGCACGAAAGCGUGNGGAGCAAACAGGAUUAGAUACCCUGGUAGUCCACGCCCUAAACGAUGUCAACUAGUUGUUGGGGAUUCAUUUCCUUAGUAACGUAGCUAACGCGUGAAGUUGACCGCCUGGGGAGUACGGUCGCAAGAUUAAAACUCAAAGGAAUUGACGGGGACCCGCACAAGCGGUGGAUGAUGUGGAUUAAUUCGAUGCAACGCGAAAAACCUUACCUACCCUUGACAUGCCACUAACGAAGCAGAGAUGCAUUAGGUGCUCGAAAGAGAAAGUGGACACAGGUGCUGCAUGGCUGUCGUCAGCUCGUGUCGUGAGAUGUUGGGUUAAGUCCCGCAACGAGCGCAACCCUUGUCUCUAGUUGCUACGAAAGGGCACUCUAGAGAGACUGCCGGUGACAAACCGGAGGAAGGUGGGGAUGACGUCAAGUCCUCAUGGCCCUUAUGGGUAGGGCUUCACACGUCAUACAAUGGUGCAUACAGAGGGUUGCCAAGCCGCGAGGUGGAGCUAAUCCCAGAAAAUGCAUCGUAGUCCGGAUCGUAGUCUGCAACUCGACUACGGAAGCUGG
rnacentral:rRNA from 1 species